GAAAUGCGAUAAGUAAUGUGAAUUGCAGAAUUCAGUGAAUCAUCGAAUCUUUGAACGCACCUUGCGCUCCUUGGUAUUCCUUGGAGCAUGCCUGUUUGAGUAUCAUGAAAUCUUCAAAGUAAAUCUUUUGUUAACUCAAUUGGUUUCUACUUUGGUAUUGGAGGUCUUUGCAGCUUCACACCUGCUCCUCUUUGUUCAUUAGCUGGAUCUCAGUGUUAUGCUUGGUUCCACUCGGCGUGAUAAGUUAUCUAUCGCUGAGGACACUGUAAAAGGUGGCCAAGGUAAAUGCAGAUGAACCGCUUCUAAUAGUCCAUUGACUUGGACAAUACUUUUAUGAUCUGAUCUCAAAUCAGAUAGGACUACCCGCUGAACUUAAGC
rnacentral:misc_RNA from 1 species